CGGCCUUAUCACGUUGAAACACCUGUUCUUGUACGAUCACCGAAGUUAAGCAAUGUCAAGCCUGGUCAGUACCUCGAUGGAUGACCGCUUGCAAAUACCAGCGUGCUGUAAG